CGUGUGGGCCUCGCGUCCUCCAGUGGGGAAGCCUAUGAGAGGGUUGUGAGGCACUGUGCCGGGCCCCACUUCCUUCCUCUUUUCGAACUCCCUCCUGGGCCCGCCCUCUCCACCUCGGGGAUCCCCGCCCAACUCCUUCUGCCUGAGGCACAAGACAAGGCUGAGAGCAAUCUCACUCCCACCACAAACUCCAACACCCUUCACCUGCAAAGCCUGGGGUCAGUGCGAACCGUCUCCUCCUAGAGUUAGUGAGCCUACGCCCACCUGGCAGGACCUGAGCCACCGAGGUCACCACAGCGCAGGUUUUCCUGACUCCUGACCUGGAGACCCAAGAGACGCUCUGGCACUCCAUCUCCUUAGCCGGAGAGUUGGUGUUAGGCUGCCGUUCAAAUCCAGACCAGAACAAAAUCCUGCCAUUCCUGGAUGCCUCAAUCUUCUCAACUAUAAGGAAACACAGGAAUGCAGGUUCGAAGAGCAGCUUCCAAACAGUGCUCUGCACUGGAAGCACCUUGAGAACAGACUUUCCCAACUCCUCCAUGCCCAGGCUGCUCCUAG